rnacentral:rRNA from 1 species
AUUGAACGCUGGCGGCAGGCCUAACACAUGCAAGUCGAGCGAACGGCGGACGGGUGAGUAAGGUAUGGGGAUCUGCCCGAUCGAGGGGGAUGACUACUGGAAACGGUGGCUAAUAGCGCAUAAUAUCGUAUGAGCCCAUAUGGGAUUAGCUAGUAGGUGGGGUAAAGGCUCACCUAGGCGACGAGCCCUAGCUGGCCUGAGAGGAUGAUCAGCCACACUGGGACUGAGACACGGCCCAGACUCCUACGGGAGGCAGCAGUGGGGAAUAUUGGACAAUGGGCGCAAGCCUGAUGCAGCCAUGCCGCGUGUAUGAAGAAGGUCUUAGGGUCGUAAAGUACUUUCAGCGGGGAGGCGUUACCCGAAGAAGAAGCACCGGCUAACUACGUGCCAGCAGCCGCGGUAAUUC